GACGAACGCUGGCGGCGUGCUUAACACAUGCAAGUCGAACGGAAAGGCCCUGCUCUUGUGGGGUGCUCGAGUGGCGAAGGCGUGAGUAAAACGUGAGUAACCUGCCCCUGUCUUUGUGAUAUCUUCAGGAAACUGGGGCUAAUACAGGAUAGGAUCUCCUGCUGCGUGGUGGUGGUUAGAAAGUUUCGGCGGUUCGGGAUGGUCUCGCGGCUUAUCAGCUUGUUGGUGAGGUAGUUGCUUACCAAGGCUAUGACGGGUAGCCGGCCUGAGAGGGUGACCGGCCACAAUGGGACUGCGAUACGGACCAGAAUGCUACGGGCGGCAGCAGUGGAGAGUAUUGCACAAUGGGCGGAAGCCAGAUGCAGCAGCGUCGCGUGCGGGAUAACGGCCUUCGGGUUGUAAACCGAUUUCGCCUGUGACGAAGCGUGAGUGACGGUAACGGGUAAAGAAGCAACGGCUAACUACGUG
rnacentral:rRNA from 1 species